rnacentral:lncRNA from 12 species
GCAAAGCAGGAGGAACGGCCUAGGGAGCGGGAGAAGCAGGCUCCUCGCUGAGCAGGGAGCCCGACGCGGGGGUCGAUCCCAGGCCCCCGGGACCAUGACCUGAGCCACCCAGGCGUCCCUGGAAUCCGUACUCCAGAGCCGCCUCACCCCACCCCUACCUCCACACCAGGGCAGGUGGGACCCAUACAGACCCUGCCAGGCCCACCUGCCCCCCAGCCACCCCGGCUUCUCUGACUGAAAGUCCUAGCACCCACUAGGCCACUCAUGGGCACACGGCCCCCUGCUGCCCCUUCUGAUUGCGUGCUGCCACCCAGGUCUGCACAGCUCCACCCUCGAGGCCUUUUUGGGCACUUGCUCAAGUGCUACUUCCUCUCUGAGAUCCACCCUGACCUCCUCUCCUGCUUGCACUUUGCUCACAGCACUAAGCACUUCAUCGUACACAGGGAUGAGAGGAAGAGCGGACCCCCUAGACGCCCAGGCCCCGAUUGCCAGAGCCAGUGGCCUUAUUGCCUUACCUGCAGAAGGGACUUGGUGGAUGUGAGUGAGCGAAGGACGUGGGGUUGGAGAGAUGACCCCAGAUUACCCACACGGGUCCAGCGUCAUCGCAGACGUCCUGGUGCAAUCACAGGAGGGGCCCGGAGACCUGGAGGUGCGACGACAGAGCCCAGAGCCGUAGCUGCUGAUUCUGAGCUAUGGCCCCAGCCCCCGAGACCGUGAGAGCCCUGCCCACGGAAGGUCGGGACCACCGUGCACAUGCCCUCGGCUCCGCGUCCUUGGACCCACCACCGGGCCCUCUGAGCCUGUUUCCUUGUCUGUGAUAUGAAGAAGUAAAACGCCCUCCACGAAGCUGUGGUCUCUACCACUGAAGAGGUAAGAGGCAGCCUGUAGGGGAGGCUGUGGGUGGGGGAGGCCUCAGAGGAAAGGUCUGGAACAGGAUGUGCAGGGCCUGCCUGGCCAUCCAGGGGCCCGAGGUUCCCCUGGUUCUGUAUGUCCUGUGGGAAUCGACACACGUUUAGACCUGAGUACGUGGGAGCGCCUUACACAUAGUAGGUGCUCAGCCAAUGUUGCGUGGAGGAGUGGUCAGAAGACACCCAGAAGCUUUUUUUUUUUUU